UACGAAGGGUGCUAGCGUUGUUCGGAAUUACUGGGCGUAAAGCGCGCGUAGGCGGCUAUUCAAGUCAGAGGUGAAAUCCCUGGGCUCAACCCAGGAAUUGCCUUUGAAACUGUAUAGCUUGAGUACUGGAGGGGAUAGCGGAAUUCCUAAUGUAGAGGUGAAAUUCGUAGAUAUUAGGAGGAACACCGGUGGCGAAGGCGGCUAUCUGGACAGUAGCUGACGCUGAGGCGCGAAAGCGUGGGGAUCAAACAGG
rnacentral:rRNA from 1 species